AUUGAACGCUGGCGGCAGGCCUAACACAUGCAAGUCGAGCGGAUGAAGGGAGCUUGCUCCUGGAUUCAGCGGCGGACGGGUGAGUAAUGCCUAGGAAUCUGCCUGGUAGUGGGGGAUAACGUCCGGAAACGGGCGCUAAUACCGCAUACGUCCUGAGGGAGAAAGUGGGGGAUCUUCGGACCUCACGCUAUCAGAUGAGCCUAGGUCGGAUUAGCUAGUUGGUGGGGUAAAGGCCUACCAAGGCGACGAUCCGUAACUGGUCUGAGAGGAUGAUCAGUCACACUGGAACUGAGACACGGUCCAGACUCCUACGGGAGGCAGCAGUGGGGAAUAUUGGACAAUGGGCGAAAGCCUGAUCCAGCCAUGCCGCGUGUGUGAAGAAGGUCUUCGGAUUGUAAAGCACUUUAAGUUGUGAGGAAGAGCAGUAAGUUAAUACCUUGCUGUUUUGACGUUACCAACAGAAUAAGCACCGGCUAACUUCGUG
rnacentral:rRNA from 1 species